CGUGACCAACCUGUCUUUAGGUGAGGGACAACCUGGGGAAACCUGGGCUAAUACCGCAUAAUGUCUUUUUUUUCACAUGGGGAAGAGACCAAAGGGGGCCUCUGCUUGCAAGCUCUCGCCUGAUGAGGGGGUCGCGUCGUAUCAGCUUGUUGGUGAGGUAACGGCUCACCAAGGCUAUGACGCGUAGCGGGUCUGAGAGGACGAUCCGUCACAUUGGGACUGAGAUACGGCCCAG
rnacentral:rRNA from 1 species